rnacentral:rRNA from 1 species
AGCGUACACGGUGGAUGCCCUGGCAGUCAGAGGCGAUGAAGGACGUGCUAAUCUGCGAUAAGCGUCGGUAAGGUGAUAUGAACCGUUAUAACCGGCGAUUUCCGAAUGGGGAAACCCAGUGUGAUUCGUCACACUAUCAUUAACUGAAUCCAUAGGUUAAUGAGGCGAACCGGGGGAACUGAAACAUCUAAGUACCCCGAGGAAAAGAAAUCAACCGAGAUUCCCCCAGUAGCGGCGAGCGAACGGGGAGGAGCCCAGAGCCUGAAUCAGUGUGUGUGUUAGUGGAAGCGUCUGGAAAGGCGUGCGAUACAGGGUGACAGCCCCGUACACAAAAAUGCACAUAUUGUGAGCUCGAUGAGUAGGGCGGGACACGUGGUAUCCUGUCUGAAUAUGGGGGGACCAUCCUCCAAGGCUAAAUACUCCUGACUGACCGAUAGUGAACCAGUACCGUGAGGGAAAGGCGAAAAGAACCCCGGCGAGGGGAGUGAAAAAGAACCUGAAACCGUGUACGUACAAGCAGUGGGAGCCUCUUAAUGGGGUGACUGCGUACCUUUUGUAUAAUGGGUCAGCGACUUAUAUUCUGUAGCAAGGUUAACCGAAUAGGGGAGCCGAAGGGAAACCGAGUCUUAACUGGGCGUUAAGUUGCAGGGUAUAGACCCGAAACCCGGUGAUCUAGCCAUGGGCAGGUUGAAGGUUGGGUAACACUAACUGGAGGACCGAACCGACUAAUGUUGAAAAAUUAGCGGAUGACUUGUGGCUGGGGGUGAAAGGCCAAUCAAACCGGGAGAUAGCUGGUUCUCCCCGAAAGCUAUUUAGGUAGCGCCUCGUGAAUUCAUCUCCGGGGGUAGAGCACUGUUUCGGCAAGGGGGUCAUCCCGACUUACCAACCCGAUGCAAACUGCGAAUACCGGAGAAUGUUAUCACGGGAGACACACGGCGGGUGCUAACGUCCGUCGUGAAGAGGGAAACAACCCAGACCGCCAGCUAAGGUCCCAAAGUCAUGGUUAAGUGGGAAACGAUGUGGGAAGGCCCAGACAGCCAGGAUGUUGGCUUAGAAGCAGCCAUCAUUUAAAGAAAGCGUAAUAGCUCACUGGUCGAGUCGGCCUGCGCGGAAGAUGUAACGGGGCUAAACCAUGCACCGAAGCUGCGGCAGCGACACUAUGUGUUGUUGGGUAGGGGAGCGUUCUGUAAGCCUGUGAAGGUGGCCUGUGAGGGUUGCUGGAGGUAUCAGAAGUGCGAAUGCUGACAUAAGUAACGAUAAAGCGGGUGAAAAGCCCGCUCGCCGGAAGACCAAGGGUUCCUGUCCAACGUUAAUCGGGGCAGGGUGAGUCGACCCCUAAGGCGAGGCCGAAAGGCGUAGUCGAUGGGAAACAGGUUAAUAUUCCUGUACUUGGUGUUACUGCGAAGGGGGGACGGAGAAGGCUAUGUUGGCCGGGCGACGGUUGUCCCGGUUUAAGCGUGUAGGCUGGUUUUCCAGGCAAAUCCGGAAAAUCAAGGCUGAGGCGUGAUGACGAGGCACUACGGUGCUGAAGUAACAAAUGCCCUGCUUCCAGGAAAAGCCUCUAAGCAUCAGGUAACAUCAAAUCGUACCCCAAACCGACACAGGUGGUCAGGUAGAGAAUACCAAGGCGCUUGAGAGAACUCGGGUGAAGGAACUAGGCAAAAUGGUGCCGUAACUUCGGGAGAAGGCACGCUGAUAUGUAGGUGAAGCGACUUGCUCGUGGAGCUGAAAUCAGUCGAAGAUACCAGCUGGCUGCAACUGUUUAUUAAAAACACAGCACUGUGCAAACACGAAAGUGGACGUAUACGGUGUGACGCCUGCCCGGUGCCGGAAGGUUAAUUGAUGGGGUUAGCGGUAACGCGAAGCUCUUGAUCGAAGCCCCGGUAAACGGCGGCCGUAACUAUAACGGUCCUAAGGUAGCGAAAUUCCUUGUCGGGUAAGUUCCGACCUGCACGAAUGGCGUAAUGAUGGCCAGGCUGUCUCCACCCGAGACUCAGUGAAAUUGAACUCGCUGUGAAGAUGCAGUGUACCCGCGGCAAGACGGAAAGACCCCGUGAACCUUUACUAUAGCUUGACACUGAACAUUGAGCCUUGAUGUGUAGGAUAGGUGGGAGGCUUUGAAGUGUGGACGCCAGUCUGCAUGGAGCCGACCUUGAAAUACCACCCUUUAAUGUUUGAUGUUCUAACGUUGGCCCGUAAUCCGGGUUGCGGACAGUGUCUGGUGGGUAGUUUGACUGGGGCGGUCUCCUCCUAAAGAGUAACGGAGGAGCACGAAGGUUGGCUAAUCCUGGUCGGACAUCAGGAGGUUAGUGCAAUGGCAUAAGCCAGCUUGACUGCGAGCGUGACGGCGCGAGCAGGUGCGAAAGCAGGUCAUAGUGAUCCGGUGGUUCUGAAUGGAAGGGCCAUCGCUCAACGGAUAAAAGGUACUCCGGGGAUAACAGGCUGAUACCGCCCAAGAGUUCAUAUCGACGGCGGUGUUUGGCACCUCGAUGUCGGCUCAUCACAUCCUGGGGCUGAAGUAGGUCCCAAGGGUAUGGCUGUUCGCCAUUUAAAGUGGUACGCGAGCUGGGUUUAGAACGUCGUGAGACAGUUCGGUCCCUAUCUGCCGUGGGCGCUGGAGAACUGAGGGGGGCUGCUCCUAGUACGAGAGGACCGGAGUGGACGCAUCACUGGUGUUCGGGUUGUCAUGCCAAUGGCACUGCCCGGUAGCUAAAUGCGGAAGAGAUAAGUGCUGAAAGCAUCUAAGCACGAAACUUGCCCCGAGAUGAGUUCUCCCUGACUCCUUGA